ACUCAUAGGGGAGGGCGUGACGUCACAAUAGUGAUAAACUAAUCGGCUAGUGUGUCGCGCUGACGACUGCGAAACACAAGCGUCGAAGGUCCGACUGCGCGUCCGUGGAGGCGGUUAUCACGCACGGUCCGUCUCCGUCCUCUGUGCCAGUGUGUCAGUGUAUGUACCCGAGUGUAUCGUGUGUCAAGCUGCUGACAUUGAAAAUAUUCCGUGAUAAGUGCCGCCGCCGUCGCCGUCGCCGUCACCGCCGCCAUCGCCGCUGCCGCCGUCGCCGUGCAUUCACCGAUGUUGAAAUGAAGCAGAAGCGCGUAAUAUAUGGCGACGCGCGGAAACUGUGCGAGAGACAAACGCAGUUGGCCCCGUACGGGCCUUGCCUCGCGUCGGACUAACGAUCAAUGGCUUUAUUCGAGAAGAGAUACACGAAUAAGGUGCUAUUAGAUGAUACGGAGCAGUUGACGAGUGUCAUCGAAAAUGCGAGGACCAUCGACGGACAUACGGAAUACGUAAUCAAAACACAGAGAGGUCCACUUCCUGAAAGAUCUUGGAGAGUGAGUAGACGCUACAAUGACUUCGUACAGCUUAAUGCAGCUUUGUCCAUAUCUGGCUUCGACCUGCCAUUACCACCAAAAAGAAUUAUUGGUAAUAUGGAGCCAGACUUUAUAGCUCAGCGACAAAUAGCACUGCAGAAUUAUCUAAACAUAGUACUAAUGAAUCCUAUACUGGCAUCUUCACUUCCCAUGAAAAAGUUUGUAGACCCUGAGAAUUAUACAGCACCAUUACAUGAAAUCGCAUUACAGCAAGUGUCAUUAGCGUUACGAAGCGAUGCCAAUUUUGAAGUGUGCAAGCCCAUCCCUGAUAUGGGAUGGCGAUUGAGGAAACAUUAUUACACAGUGAAGAAUCGUCAGAAUCCGAAACAAGAACUUUUGCUAGCUUGGGUAGAAUUCGGUCCCGAUAAACAUUUGCAAGACAAAGACAUACAAGGGAUUUUCAAGACCCUGGGCACUCUACGCCAUUCUCACAUCGAACCGAUAGUGCAUCAGCACGUCACCGACAAUGGAGCACUAACGAUACGGACUUUUUAUCCAACGGGUACUUUGCGCGACAUUCUGUGCAUUACUAAGCCUAAGCAGCCGUUUAUAAAGAAAUAUGGAAAUCCGAAGCAAAUAAAGUCGCUGACAACGCAGGAGAUUGCUACGUACGGUUAUCAGAUAUUGGAAGCUUUGGGAUAUCUCCAUGAGAAGGGAUUACCUUACGGACACUUGCAUACUGGCAAUGUUCUCCUAACUCCGAGGUGCGCCAAAUUAUUGGAUAUAGAAAAUGGACUCCUAGGAUUGCCAGCGUUUUACCGGCCUUACGUAGUACAAAGGCGCAAACUGCAUGCCACGACCCAGGUCGACGUGUAUUCAUUCGGACAUGUUCUGUACGAGAUGGCAUUCGGCCGACCACUUCUGGAGGCAACAUGCUCCGACCUACCGCACUGCGAAGCGAGCCUAAAGAAUUUACUGGAGGUCAUCCUGUCACCGGAAGCCCUGAAGCAAGAUUUGCCAACGGUGGCGCACUUGCUGCAGCAUCCGUUCUUCGAGUCGGCGAGGCAGGCCGCACUAGCUAUUGGCACUAUAGAGAAGCCACACUUCAAGCUGAGCAAUCACCUGAAGGAGGCUCUACAAGAAGCUGUAAAUAAGGCUGAGCAACGACUACGCGAUGAACAGAAGGUCGCUCGACACCAGAAGAGGCUCGUCAAGGUUCAAGAGAUGAUGAGCUCCGAGGAGGAGAUGAAGAAACGAAAACAUAAGCUGAAGAAGGAGCAGAAAUUGGCGCAAGAACAACGUUCCGCGUCGCAAUUGGGCGCGAACGGGACGAAGCAGAUAAACGGUAAGAGUCCAGAGCGUUCGGACAGUCCAACGAGUACUUCCACGGCCACCAGCGUUGGAACGCUGACUCCCCCGUCGCUCCGUAAGUCCAUUACGAUGCUCCUCGUUCUUGUUGCCAUUGAUACUAACUGAGAUUUACGUUUCUACGUCCUUUAAUUAGCUGGGCACAAAAGUUGAUGGCGCGUGCUGAGAUCAUUCCUUUCACGUUCCGUGGAAAUCCCACAAGACGUAGUUCCUGGCAAAGGUGUUCCACCACCACCGCCACCUUCGUUGCCAACAUCGUCUGAAGCGUCCGGUGGUGCGUCGAGU
rnacentral:misc_RNA from 1 species